rnacentral:rRNA from 1 species
GUGCCAGCAGCCGCGGUAAUACGUAGGUGGCAAGCGUUGUCCGGAUUUAUUGGGCGUAAAGCGAGCGCAGGCGGUUUUUUAAGUCUGAUGUGAAAGCCUUCGGCUCAACCGAAGAAGUGCAUCGGAAACUGGGAAACUUGAGUGCAGAAGAGGACAGUGGAACUCCAUGUGUAGCGGUGAAAUGCGUAGAUAUAUGGAAGAACACCAGUGGCGAAGGCGGCUGUCUGGUCUGUAACUGACGCUGAGGCUCGAAAGUAUGGGUAGCAAACAGGAUUAGAUACCCUGGUAGUCCAUACCGUAAACGAUGAAUGCUAAGUGUUGGAGGGUUUCCGCCCUUCAGUGCUGCAGCUUACGCAUUAAGCAUUCCGCCUGGGGAGUACGGCCGCAAGGCUGAAACUCAAAGGAAUUGACGGGGGCCCGCACAAGCGGUGGAGCAUGUGGUUUAAUUCGAAGCUACGCGAAGAACCUUACCAGGUCUUGACAUACUAUGCAAAUCUAAGAGAUUAGACGUUCCCUUCGGGGACAUGGAUACAGGUGGUGCAUGGUUGUCGUCAGCUCGUGUCGUGAGAUGUUGGGUUAAGUCCCGCAACGAGCGCAACCCUUAUUAUCAGUUGCCAGCAUUAAGUUGGGCACUCUGGUGAGACUGCCGGUGACAAACCGGAGGAAGGUGGGGAUGACGUCAAAUCAUCAUGCCCCUUAUGACCUGGGCUACACACGUGCUACAAUGGAUGGUACAACGAGUUGCGAACUCGCGAGAGUAAGCUAAUCUCUUAAAGCCAUUCUCAGUUCGGAUUGUAGGCUGCAACUCGCCUACAUGAAGUCGGAAUCGCUAGUAAUCGCGGAUCAGCAUGCCGCGGUGAAUACGUUCCCGGGCCUUGUACACACCGCCCGUCACACCAUGAGAGUUUGUAGCACCCAAAGUCGGUGGGGUAACCUUUUAGGAACCAGCUGCCUAAGGUGGGACAGAUGAUUAGGGUGAAGUCGUAACAAGGUAACCGA